UGCUUCGCCUGCAGCUCGGCCAGCCUGUGCUUCCUCAGCGCCUCGAGCUCCUCCUCCGCCAUGGUGCGGCCGUCCGGAGACAGCAGCCGCGGCCACGCUCCAGCCCACUCGAGAGACCACUGGCAGCCCCUCAACGCGCCCGCCGCCCUCCCCACUGCGCAGGCGCCCGCAGCUCCCAGGCAUCACCAAUCCAGCCCGGAGCCGCGCCGCGCGCCCCAGCCAGGGUGCGGGGAGAGGCCCGAUUCCGCGAUCGCUGGCCGCAGCUUGCGGGGCAGAACCGCUGCGCGGAGCCUUCCGGACUUCGGUUCCACCUCCCGGCUGCAAAUCUGUUCUCUGCGCUCGCGGCCGCCAGCCGGGCAAAGAUAUGGCUGCGUGUGGGAAAAGAUAGUAACCUAGAAACAGGCCAUCCUCAACAAGUAUAAUAACAGGUGUAGACAGUGUCUCUUGACUCCCAGCUUUAAAAGAUGAAGAUGCCAGCAUCUCUAAGCUUCCACGGGAAGGAGAGCAUGCAGACAAGGUUGGCGCAGGCAGAGAACUCAAAGGAGAGAGCAGGGGCCUGAGAAUGCCAGGGAGCGGCCCCCAGUGGUGCUGGGCCAAAGUCAGCCUAAAAGAGGGAUGGAGACUGUGAAGCGACCCGGUGAGUCACAAUAUAUUUCGACUUCCGGGUAAGAUGGCGGAAGAGUAAGACGCGGAGAUCACCUUCCUCCCCACGGAUACAC